AUAGGGGAGCCGUAGGGAAACCGAGUCUUAACUGGGCGAAUGAGUUGCAGGGUAUAGACCCGAAACCCGGUGAUCUAUCCAUGGGCAGGUUGAAGGUUGGGUAACACUAACUGGAGGACCGAACCGACUAAUGUUGAAAAAUUAGCGGAUGACUUGUGGAUGGGGGUGAAAGGCCAAUCAAACCGGGAGAUAGCUGGUUCUCCCCGAAAGCUAUUUAGGUAGCGCCUCGUGAACUCAUCUUCGGGGGUAGAGCACUGUUUCGACUAGGGGGUCAUCCCGACUUACCAACUCGAUGCAAACUGCGAAUACCGAAGAAUGUUAUCACGGGAGACACACGGCGGGUGCUAACGUCCGUCGUGAAGAGGGAAACAACCCAGACCGCCAGCUAAGGUCCCAAAGUCAUGGUUAAGUGGGAAACGAAGUGGGAAGGCUCAGACAGCCAGGAUGUUGGCUUAGAAGCAGCCAUCAUUUAAAGAAAGCGUAAUAGCUCACUGGUCGAGUCGG
rnacentral:rRNA from 1 species